GUUGCCCAAAGGCAUAAUUAAUGCUGUUUGUGUUCAUCUUUUUUUUUUUUUUUUUUUUUUCUGUGCUUGGUAUUGUGAAAUAAAAUCAUUGGCAGAGAAAAAUAGGCUUCUGGAAAACACCAUUAUGGAGCACCUUUGAAGCGUCAUUCAAGAGACUGGCAGUCUGAGAAAUACUACUAUGGCCUUAUGAUUCACUGUAUGAUCUUCAACAUAUACCUUGGAUGUUGGCAAGUUGGGUACUGUGUCCAGAAGGAUAAACUUUUCUUCUAGAGAACUCAUUGAUCAAGUACAUGGACAGAUGAAUGUCAACAAGAUAAAAACUCACAGCUAGUUGGAUCACAUGGAUGCACAAAAACACUUGGAGGACAUGACUAUAACAAUUCAAAUAAUGAACAGGAAAUUGAUCUCUGAGUACUUGAAACUUCCUGGGAAUGAAAUCUAUCUCAGUCCUCAGAACAAGAGGUAGAGGGCUACAUCUAUUGAAGAAAAUAUGUAUGUGCAUAUUUUCUCCCCCUCUCCCAAAAGAAUAUUCCACUUGGAACUGGUAUGUGAAGUGACUAUUCUACAAUGACAAAAAGUAUCAAUCUUUCUUUUUGUGUGGCAAUCUUUUAAAAAUUUUUUUAAAUAAUUAUAACUUUUAUUGACAGAACCC